UACAGAGGUCCCAAGCGUUGUUCGGAUUCAUUGGGCGUAAAGGGUGUGUAGGCGGUUCUCUAAGUUUGGUGUGAAAUCUCCCGGCUUAACUGGGAGGGUGCGCCGAAAACUGGGGGGCUAGAGUACUGGAUGGGAGAGUGGAAUUCCUGGUGUAGCGGUGAAAUGCGUAGAUAUCAGGAGGAACACCUGUGGUGUAGACGGCUCUCUGGACAGUAACUGACGCUGAGACACGAAAGCGUGGGUAGCAAACAGG
rnacentral:rRNA from 1 species